AGCGGCCGCCGCCGGUCGGGCCCGGCCGAGGCGCGCCCCGCUCGGAGCGCCGGGAGCGCGCGGCAGACGGGGCCCGGUCUGUUCCGGGCCGGUUUAGGAGGGCCGUGAUUUCUCUUUGCUGCCCAGCGCUCCGGGAGGUGUCACCGCCGGGCCCGGGACCCUCCCGCUCCUCCCCGCGCCGGAGCCCCCGUGCUUCCCCCCGUCGCGGGCGGGUGGAUUUCGCUAGCGGGAAAUUAGGAGGGAAACGGGGGAUUAAAGGGCCUGAGCGGGUUACACGCACGGCAGCGGGAUGCGUACUUUCCGCGGCUGCCCGGGGAACGGGGGGUGACGGAAGCCGACCCCGGAGCCCGCAGCAUCAUCAUGCUCCCCUUUUUAUGUCUCUUUUCCUCGUCCUUGUGAGGAAAAAUAAAGACGUGGAGAAAGGAGAAAUUGGAACAUAAAAAAGGAAGCGAAGGCAGGAAAACCCUCACCGCGGCGCGGGGCUCCGGCCUGGGGCGGAUGGGCCCGGUGCGGGGCCUGCCGAGCCCGUAGAGCAUCACCCCGUGCCGAGGCACCCCUCGCUGCUUCUGCGGGUGUUUAAAAGCCGCGGGCCCUGUGUCCGUCCGCCGCCCGCCCAGGUCUCCCCGGAACCGGCCAUCCCCGCCCUGUCGGGGCCGCGCAGGGCGCUCCGCGUCCCCGCCCAGCUGUUGCUUUGCUUUGCCGGCGGUUGCGGGAUCAAUGGAGGCCCGGGCGGGCUCCCCCCGGCCGGUGCCCGCAGCUGGGCAGCUCCCAGGCGGAGCGGGCCCCGUUCCGCCGCCCGGGAAGGCGACAGCUGCGGGCUGGCGUCAGGGGACCCUUCCCUUUGACCGCGGCCCCCUGUGACAUGUGGCGGUGGGGAUGAAUGAGGGGAGGGAGAUGAGCAGCUUAUGUCCAUCAAGCACCAGGGUUUCACAGCGA